rnacentral:rRNA from 1 species
CCUACGGGAGGCUGCAGUGAGGAAUAUUGGUCAAUGGCCGCAGGGCUGAACCAGCCAAGUCGCGUGAGGGAUGACGGUCCUAUGGAUUGUAAACCUCUUUUGUCAGGGAGCAAAGGGCGCCACGUGUGGCGCUUUGCGAGUACCUGAAGAAAAAGCAUCGGCUAACUCCGUGCCAGCAGCCGCGGUAAUACGGAGGAUGCGAGCGUUAUCCGGAUUUAUUGGGUUUAAAGGGUGCGCAGGCGGAAUGUCAAGUCAGCGGUAAAAUUUCGGGGCUCAACCCCGUCGUGCCGUUGAAACUGGCGUUCUUGAGUGGGCGAGAAGUAUGCGGAAUGCGUGGUGUAGCGGUGAAAUGCAUAGAUAUCACGCAGAACUCCGAUUGCGAAGGCAGCAUACCGGCGCUCAACUGACGCUCAUGCACGAAAGCGUGGGUAUCGAACAGGAUUAGAUACCCGAGUAGUC